UUAACACAUGCAAGUCGAGCGGUAAGGCCUUUCGGGGGUACACGAGCGGCGAACGGGUGAGUAACACGUGGGUGAUCUGCCCUGCACUUCGGGAUAAGCCUGGGAAACUGGGUCUAAUACCGGAUAUGACUUCAGGUUGCAUGACUUGGGGUGGAAAGAUUUAUCGGUGCAGGAUGGGCCCGCGGCCUAUCAGCUUGUUGGUGGGGUAAUGGCCUACCAAGGCGACGACGGGUAGCCGACCUGAGAGGGUGACCGGCCACACUGGGACUGAGACACGGCCCAGACUCCUACGGGAGGCAGCAGUGGGGAAUAUUGCACAAUGGGCGAAAGCCUGAUGCAGCGACGCCGCGUGAGGGAUGACGGCCUUCGGGUUGUAAACCUCUUUCAGCAGGGACGAAGCGCAAGUGACGGUACCUGCAGAAGAAGCACCGGCUAACUACGUGCCAGCAGCCGCGGUAAUACGUAGGGUGCAAGCGUUGUCCGGAAUUACUGGGCGUAAAGAGUUCGUAGGCGGUUUGUCGCGUCGUUUGUGAAAACCAGCAGCUCAACUGCUGGCUUGCAGGCGAUACGGGCAGACUUGAGUACUGCAGGGGAGACUGGAAUUCCUGGUGUAGCGGUGAAAUGCGCAGAUAUCAGGAGGAACACCGGUGGCGAAGGCGG
rnacentral:rRNA from 1 species